AGGACGAACGCUGGCGGCGCGCUUAACACAUGCAAGUCGAGCGAUAACCAUGGCUUCGGCUAUGGGGAGAGCGGCGAACGGGUGAGUAACACGUGAGUAAUCUGCCCUCGACACUGGGAUAGCCCGGGGAAACCCGGAUUAAUACCGGAUAGCCUCUCGAGCUUUCGGGCUCGUGAGAAAGAUGGCUUCGGCAUUCGGUUGAGGAGGAGCUUGCGGCGGAUUAGCUUGUUGGUGAGGUAACGGCCCACCAAGGCGACGAUCCGUA
rnacentral:rRNA from 1 species